GGGCUCGUAGCUCAGCUUGGACAGAGCAUCUGCCUUCUAAGCAGGGGGUCGCGGGUUCAAAUCCCGUCGGGCCCG
rnacentral:tRNA from 1 species